UCAUUACCGAGUGUAGGGUUCCUAGCGAGCCCAACCUCCCACCCGUGUUUACUGUACCUUAGUUGCUUCGGCGGGCCCGCCAUUCAUGGCCGCCGGGGGCUCUCAGCCCCGGGCCCGCGCCCGCCGGAGACACCACGAACUCUGUCUGAUCUAGUGAAGUCUGAGUUGAUUGUAUCGCAAUCAGUUAAAACUUUCAACAAUGGAUCUCUUGGUUCCGGCAUCGAUGAAGAACGCAGCGAAAUGCGAUAACUAGUGUGAAUUGCAGAAUUCCGUGAAUCAUCGAGUCUUUGAACGCACAUUGCGCCCCCUGGUAUUCCGGGGGGCAUGCCUGUCCGAGCGUCAUUGCUGCCCAUCAAGCACGGCUUGUGUGUUGGGUCGUCGUCCCCUCUCCGGGGGGGACGGGCCCCAAAGGCAGCGGCGGCACCGCGUCCGAUCCUCGAGCGUAUGGGGCUUUGUCACCCGCUCUGUAGGCCCGGCCGGCGCUUGCCGAACGCAAAUCA
rnacentral:rRNA from 1 species